UUCACUGUCUUGUAAGCUGUACGGCCGUAAAUGUUUAGACACUUCCAAGAUGGCGGACGCUGAAAGUCAACACAGGCUUAUGCCAUUCACGUGUUAUUACUGUUGCUUCGAGGGAGACUUUGAUAUGGUUGUUGAACACUGCACAGAACUCCACUCCAAUCAAAUUCGUCUAAAGAAAACAUGUCUGCCUGCACAACACAGCAGAUUAUAGAUGACUGGGAUGAGCCUUUAAGAGACGUAUCAACCAUUCGUUUAAGGACCAUUCGUUUGAUCUAGAGGAGCGAAGGCGAGGAAAAAGAACCAGAAAAUCUUGAAAAGUGUCUAAGCCAAAUCAGCCAGCACGAAAUCCGUUCCCAGUUCGGGAGUACCACAAGGCGUCAGAGGCAAAGAUACUUCCCCAUGUGCGUCGUGGGUUAAACCUGGAAUCUUUUAACGACUCAUAGAAACUAGACUCUUUGAAGGACUCAUAGAAACACUACUCUUUUAAUACCUCAUAGAAACUGGACUCUUUUAACGACUCAUAAUGUCAAAAUGGUUACACAGUGGUAUAUGAACUUGAUAAGUUUAUGUGCUACCAUUUUCAACAGUUGCUUAAAUACUUAUACUUCAUAUUUACACUGUUGGCUAAGUACUGAUUAUUAAUAAUUGGAAAGUAAAAAUGAUAUAACAUAUAA